rnacentral:rRNA from 1 species
CGGGACACGUGGUAUCCUGUCUGAAUAUGGGGGGACCAUCCUCCAAGGCUAAAUACUCCUGACUGACCGAUAGUGAACCAGUACCGUGAGGGAAAGGCGAAAAGAACCCCGGCGAGGGGAGUGAAAAAGAACCUGAAACCGUGUACGUACAAGCAGUGGGAGCACGCUUAGGCGUGUGACUGCGUACCUUUUGUAUAAUGGGUCAGCGACUUAUAUUCUGUAGCAAGGUUAACCGAAUAGGGGAGCCGAAGGGAAACCGAGUCUUAACUGGGCGUUAAGUUGCAGGGUAUAGACCCGAAACCCGGUGAUCUAGCCAUGGGCAGGUUGAAGGUUGGGUAACACUAACUGGAGGACCGAACCGACUAAUGUUGAAAAAUUAGCGGAUGACUUGUGGCUGGGGGUGAAAGGCCAAUCAAACCGGGAGAUAGCUGGUUCUCCCCGAAAGCUAUUUAGGUAGCGCCUCGUGAAUUCAUCUCCGGGGGUAGAGCACUGUUUCGGCAAGGGGGUCAUCCCGACUUACCAACCCGAUGCAAACUGCGAAUACCGGAGAAUGUUAUCACGGGAGACACACGGCGGGUGCUAACGUCCGUCGUGAAGAGGGAAACAACCCAGACCGCCAGCUAAGGUCCCAAAGUCAUGGUUAAGUGGGAAACGAUGUGGGAAGGCCCAGACAGCCAGGAUGUUGGCUUAGAAGCAGCCAUCAUUUAAAGAAAGCGUAAUAGCUCACUGGUCGAGUCGGCCUGCGCGGAAGAUGUAACGGGGCUAAACCAUGCACCGAAGCUGCGGCAGCGACGCUGAUGCGUUGUUGGGUAGGGGAGCGUUCUGUAAGCCUGUGAAGGUGUGCUGUGAGGCAUGCUGGAGGUAUCAGAAGUGCGAAUGCUGACAUAAGUAACGAUAAAGCGGGUGAAAAGCCCGCUCGCCGGAAGACCAAGGGUUCCUGUCCAACGUUAAUCGGGGCAGGGUGAGUCGACCCCUAAGGCGAGGCCGAAAGGCGUAGUCGAUGGGAAACAGGUUAAUAUUCCUGUACUUGGUGUUACUGCGAAGGGGGGACGGAGAAGGCUAUGUUGGCCGGGCGACGGUUGUCCCGGUUUAAGCGUGUAGGCUGGUUUUCCAGGCAAAUCCGGAAAAUCAAGGCUGAGGCGUGAUGACGAGGCACUACGGUGCUGAAGCAACAAAUGCCCUGCUUCCAGGAAAAGCCUCUAAGCAUCAGGUAACAUCAAAUCGUACCCCAAACCGACACAGGUGGUCAGGUAGAGAAUACCAAGGCGCUUGAGAGAACUCGGGUGAAGGAACUAGGCAAAAUGGUGCCGUAACUUCGGGAGAAGGCACGCUGAUAUGUAGGUGAAGCGACUUGCUCGUGGAGCUGAAAUCAGUCGAAGAUACCAGCUGGCUGCAACUGUUUAUUAAAAACACAGCACUGUGCAAACACGAAAGUGGACGUAUACGGUGUGACGCCUGCCCGGUGCCGGAAGGUUAAUUGAUGGGGUCAGCGCAAGCGAAGCUCUUGAUCGAAGCCCCGGUAAACGGCGGCCGUAACUAUAACGGUCCUAAGGUAGCGAAAUUCCUUGUCGGGUAAGUUCCGACCUGCACGAAUGGCGUAAUGAUGGCCAGGCUGUCUCCACCCGAGACUCAGUGAAAUUGAACUCGCUGUGAAGAUGCAGUGUACCCGCGGCAAGACGGAAAGACCCCGUGAACCUUUACUAUAGCUUGACACUGAACAUUGAGCCUUGAUGUGUAGGAUAGGUGGGAGGCUUUGAAGUGUGGACGCCAGUCUGCAUGGAGCCGGCCUUGAAAUACCACCCUUUAAUGUUUGAUGUUCUAACGUUGACCCGUGAUCCGGGUUGCGGACAGUGUCUGGUGGGUAGUUUGACUGGGGCGGUCUCCUCCUAAAGAGUAACGGAGGAGCACGAAGGUUGGCUAAUCCUGGUCGGACAUCAGGAGGUUAGUGCAAUGGCAUAAGCCAGCUUGACUGCGAGCGUGACGGCGCGAGCAGGUGCGAAAGCAGGUCAUAGUGAUCCGGUGGUUCUGAAUGGAAGGGCCAUCGCUCAACGGAUAAAAGGUACUCCGGGGAUAACAGGCUGAUACCGCCCAAGAGUUCAUAUCGACGGCGGUGUUUGGCACCUCGAUGUCGGCUCAUCACAUCCUGGGGCUGAAGUAGGUCCCAAGGGUAUGGCUGUUCGCCAUUUAAAGUGGUACGCGAGCUGGGUUUAGAACGUCGUGAGACAGUUCGGUCCCUAUCUGCCGUGGGCGCU